AAUGACAUGAACUGGUGAGUAAUCUCUUGAUUCUGCAAUACCACCUAGGGGUAGGGGUAGGACGAUCGAUUGCGCUAACUUCUGUUUAUAAUGCGGUAUUAAUUACUAGGGGAGGCUAGGGAUAGCAAGCCAGUAAUUGAUAUUAGGCCCUUUUCGCCGAGGGAUCGGGUUAAGGGGAGGCUAAGAAAGUCGCAUAACAAUUGAAUCAAUCUAAUAAUCAAGGGUAGUAUGUAAGAGNAGGCUAAGAAAGUCGCAUAACAAUUGAAUCAAUCUAAUAAUCAAGGGUAGUAUGUAAGAGAGAGUGGAAUAGAUGAAAUUGUUAGUACCCAACAACAUCCAUCCAUCCAUUGUUUUCACUUGUCAAUUGAAUCA
rnacentral:lncRNA from 1 species